rnacentral:lncRNA from 1 species
CCAGAAAAUAUGGUAAGCUAUGUUAACAAGCCAUAUUAGAUAUCAAGCAUUAAUAUGGAAAUAAACCAGUGUGGGGACUUGGAGGAGGGGAGGUGAAUCUAAACUAGGUUUAGUGUGUGCUAAACUUAAUUAAUGGUUAACUAAAUUCAUUCAAAGAUAUCUGUAACUUGUGGUCUGAUAGUGCUGGUUUUUGGAUAUGAAUUUGUCAUUAAGACUACCUGGGCUGACUCUCUUUUCGGACUCAGCCCACCUGCACCCAGGUGAAAUAAACAGCUUUAUUGCUCACACAAAGCCUGUUUGGUGGUCUCUUCACAUGGACGCGCAUGAAAUUUGGUGCCGUGACUCGGAUCGGGGGACCUCCCUUGGGAGAUCAAUCCCCUGUCCUCCUGCUCUUUGCUCCGUGAGAAACAUCCACCUAUGGCCUCAGGUCCUCAGACCGACCAGCCCAAGAAACAUCUCACCAAUUUCAAAUCCGGCAUUGGGCUCUCACCAUUGGCCAAGAUUCCCUGCCCCGGUGAGGCCGGAAGCAGUUCAGACACCUGACUUCUGGCAACAUGUGAGCCUGACCCAAGCAGAUCACUGGUGACCAGUAAAUAUUGAAGCUCCAAGGUUCUUCCUUUAACAUACUGAAUUAAUGAGCCCCCUAGGGGCAUCCCCUAAAAUGACUGAGAUUUAAUUUCUCUCUAGCCUGAAUAAAGACUUAGAGCAGAUUAAAUUUGAUUUAGAGGAAGAAAAAAGCAGAGUGACUUUCUUACAACUUAGUAUUCUCAACUAAAAUUCAUACCCACAACACACAAAUACAUCCACACCAACACCCACCUAUCCACCUACCCACAUGCAUGCUUUGGAGGAUUUUGGAAGAGUGCUGAAUGGCAUGUUAUAAUUUUUCAAUUCGUUUAAAUAUUUAAAAAGUGAUAGUCUUUUAUGACUGGGUGCGGUGGCUCACGCCUGUAAACCCAGCACUUUGGAAGGCUGAGGCAGGUGGAUCAUUUGAGGCCAGGAGUUUGAGACCAGCCUGAGCAACGUGGCAAAACACCAUUCUACUAAAAUUAGAAAAAUUAGCCAGAUGUGGUGGCACAGGCCUGUGAUC